GCUCACUUUGGCAGCACAUAUACUAAAAUUGGAAUGUCCCAGAGAAGGUUAGGACGGCCCCUCUGCAAGAAUGAUACACAAAUUCAUGAAGCAUUCCAUAUAUAU